rnacentral:rRNA from 1 species
GCAGUAGCCGCGGUAAUACGUAGGUGGCAAGCGUUGUCCGGAAUUAUUGGGCGUAAAGGGCUCGCAGGCGGUUUCUUAAGUCUGAUGUGAAAGCCCCCGGCUCAACCGGGGAGGGUCAUUGGAAACUGGGAUACUUGAGUGCAGAAGAGGAGAGUGGAAUUCCACGUGUAGCGGUGAAAUGCGUAGAGAUGUGGAGGAACACCAGUGGCGAAGGCGACUCUCUGGUCUGUAACUGACGCUGAGGAGCGAAAGCGUGGGGAGCGAACAGGAUUAGAUACCCCCGUAGUCCCUGUCUCUUAUAC